UACGUAGGUGGCGAGCGUUGUCCGGAUUUACUGGGCGUAAAGAGCGCGCAGGCGGUCGUACAAGUCGCGUGUGAAAGCCCCCGGCUCAACUGGGGAGGGUCACGCGAUACUGUUCGACUCGAAGGCAGGAGAGGGAAGUGGAAUUCCCGGUGUAGUGGUGAAAUGCGUAGAUAUCGGGAGGAACACCAGUGGCGAAAGCGGCGAGCUGGACCACUACUGACGCUGAAGAACGAAAGCUAGGGGAGCAAACAGG
rnacentral:rRNA from 1 species